rnacentral:rRNA from 1 species
UACGAAGGGGGCUAGCGUUGCUCGGAAUUACUGGGCGUAAAGCGCACGUAGGCGGCUUUCUAAGUCGGGGGUGAAAUCCUGGAGCUCAACUCCAGAACUGCCUUCGAUACUGGGAAGCUUGAGUCCGGGAGAGGUGAGUGGAACUGCGAGUGUAGAGGUGAAAUUCGUAGAUAUUCGCAAGAACACCAGUGGCGAAGGCGGCUCACUGGCCCGGUACUGACGCUGAGGUGCGAAAGCGUGGGGAGCAAACAGG